rnacentral:lncRNA from 1 species
CAUACAGUCCACUGUUCCCCUACACAAGUAUGCUUCAAUGUGUGACCUUUGAAAAGGAAACACGCCCCCCAUGACAAAUUUAGCAGGAUGUCCCGGCUUUCAUAUGCCUCUCCCAGGAAAAGUAUGAGAUGGAUCCUUAGGCUUUCCACUGCUGACUUUCACGUUGUAAGUUUUCCUUUAAAAUUCUGUUUUGUACUCCAUGCUGUGUCUUGAGCCCUGUUGUAUGUUGCAUGACAGGUGUGACAACAAAAGGACUCACUGUGUGCAGUAACCGUGGAUGUGGAUUUACCGUUCCACUCCUCUGACUGUGCAUAUGGGGAAGGGGAACAGGCCUUGCAGGAGGGCCUGAAAGAUGUGGCCUGGCCGUAACUCAAAAAAGGAAAGCGAGGUCUGGGUGCAGUGGUUCAUGCCUGUAGUCCCAGCACUACGGGAGCUGAGGCGGGUGGAUCACCCGAGGUCAGGAGUUCGGACCAGCCUGGCUAACAUGGCAAAACUCUGUCUCUACUGAAAAAUACAAAAAAAAAAUUAGCUGGGCAUGGUGGCAUGCACCUGUAGUCCCGGCUACUUGGGAGGCUGAGGCUGAAGAAUCGCUUGAACCUGGGAGGCAGAAGUUGCAGUGAGCUAAGAUUGCGCCACUGCACCUCCAACCUGGGAACAGAGCAAGACUCUGUCUCAAAAAAAAAAAAAAAAAAAAAAAGGAAGACUCCUCCAGGAUGGGUACUCAACUUACAGAGAUUAUUUGAUAAAAUUCAAUAAAUCAGCAUUUUUUGAGAAGAGAUUCAACAUUUUCCAAAAGAUCAGUUUGCACAUCUCCACUUUUCAACUCCAGCCAUUGAGCAUCUUGAGGAAUUCUCAAAGGAUCCCAAAACAUGUACAACUUGGCAGUGAAUUGUUUGCAGGCGUUUUUCAAUUGGUUCUUUGGAUUUCAGGGCAUGCUGCUGGAUAAUGCUCAAUGGCAACGGAAGACCCCAACCCUGCUCUCUCACGUCUCUUAUCCCCAUACCACAACUGAAGCAUGACGCUCUGGAGGAGAGGCUUGGUAAGCAGUGGGACCAGAUCCCCAAACUGCCAUCACAUGACAGCAUCCGCAUUUCACCAGGGACCCAUGAGCAGCUCAGGGAAGAGUGGAUCCCCAGUGACGGCUUCACUCAAGAGCCAGCAGAAGUCCUUUAGGCCUGCAUGACUCAGCCUCAGGGAAAGCUCAUCCUCAUCUUAAAAUCAAGGGGAUAGAUGACUCCUCCCACUGUUACCAAGCACACAGGAUGUGGAAGGGCAUUCAAAACACAAGGAUCAACAUUUGUCAAAAGUUUUGAAGGAUGAAACUUCAGAGUGUGUUAAUGAAGUGGCAUGACGUUCGAUACAGCAGGACAUAAGAUAUUUGGAAAAAGUGAGCUGAAUAAGAGCUGAAAAUGAAGCUGGGUUCAUUUUUUGAGAGCCUAAGAUAUUGUGUUAAAUUUGAGUUUUAUUCCAGAAGGCACUGGGGAGCCAUAGAGGGUGGUCAGCAAAAACAUG